rnacentral:rRNA from 1 species
GGAAUUUUCCGCAAUGGGGGAAACCCUGACGCAGCGACGCCGCGUGAAGGAUGAAGGUCUUCGGAUUGUAAACUUCUUUUGUCGGGGAAGAUAAUGACGGUACCCGAUGAAUAAGCCACGGCUAACUCUGUGCCAGCAGCCGCGGUAAGACAGAGGUGGCAAGCGUUGUUCGGAAUUACUGGGCUUAAAGGGCGCGUAGGCGUCCCGGUAAGUCAGAUGUGGAAGCUUCCCGCUUAACGGGGAAAUUGCAUCUGAUACUGUCGGGAUUGAGUCAGCGAGGGGAUGGCGGAAUUCCAGGUGUAGCGGUGAAAUGCGUAGAUAUCUGGAGGAAGGCCGGUGGCGAAGGCGGCCAUCUGGCGCUGAACUGACGCUGAGGCGCGAAAGCGUGGGGAGCAAACAGGAUUAGAUACCCCAGUAGUC